rnacentral:lncRNA from 1 species
CUCCCCCUCUAAAUGAAAAAAAGAAAGAAAAGAAAAAGAAAAAGUCAGUCCUCUCAUCUGCAUGUACAAAUACUCAUGUAUGGGAUAUAGUAAAUGACGCAAAAACCAAUAUUCAUCAUCAAUAUGGUGUGAAUUCAGGAUCCACUGUGACUUGAGAAUGUUCUUACCGAUAGCUCCAAGUAUUUGUUCAAAAUAUUUGAAUUCACUCCUAUCAUGGAGGUCAGUUAGAAGUAGUUUCAACGAACA